GCUGGGCGUGGUGGCGCAUGCCUGUAAUCCCAGCUACUGGGGAGGCUGAGGCAGGAGAAUCUCUUGAACCCAGGAGACCGAGGUUGCAGUGAGCUGAGAUUGCACCACUGCACUCUAGCCUGGGCCGCAGAGUGAGACUCUGUCUCAA
rnacentral:SRP_RNA from 1 species